rnacentral:rRNA from 1 species
UAGGGAAUCUUCGGCAAUGGGGGGCGAACCCUGACCGAGCAACGCCGCGUGAGUGAAGAAGGUCUUCGGAUCGUAAAACUCUGUUGUUAGAGAAGAACACGAGUGAGAGUAACUGUUCUUGUAUUGACGGUAUCUAACCAGAAAGCCACGGCUAACUACGUGCCAG